UUGAACGCUGGCGGCAGGCCUAACACAUGCAAGUCGAGCGGUAGCACAGAGAGCUUGCUCUCGGGUGACGAGCGGCGGACGGGUGAGUAAUGUCUGGGAAACUGCCUGAUGGAGGGGGAUAACUACUGGAAACGGUAGCUAAUACCGCAUAACGUCGCAAGACCAAAGUGGGGGACCUUCGGGCCUCAUGCCAUCAGAUGUGCCCAGAUGGGAUUAGCUAGUAGGUGGGGUAACGGCUCACCUAGGCGACGAUCCCUAGCUGGUCUGAGAGGAUGACCAGCCACACUGGAACUGAGACACGGUCCAGACUCCUACGGGAGGCAGCAGUGGGGAAUAUUGCACAAUGGGCGCAAGCCUGAUGCAGCCAUGCCGCGUGUGUGAAGAAGGCCUUCGGGUUGUAAAGCACUUUCAGCGGGGAGGAAGGCGAUAAGGUUAAUAACCUUGUCGAUUGACGUUACCCGCAGAAGAAGCACCGGCUAACUCCGUGCCAGCAGCCGCGGUAAUACGGAGGGUGCAAGCGUUAAUUGGAAUUACUGGGCGUAAAGCGCACGCAGGCGGUCUGUCAAGUCGGAUGUGAAAUCCCCGGGCUCAACCUGGGAACUGCAUUCGAAACUGGCAGGCUAGAGUCUUGUAGAGGGGGGUAGAAUUCCAGGUGUAGCGGUGAAAUGCGUAGAGAUCUGGAGGAAUACCGGUGGCGAAGGCGGCCCCCUGGACAAAGACUGACGCUCAGGUGCGAAAGCGUGGGGAGCAAACAGGAUUAGAUACCCUGGUAGUCCACACAGUAAACGAUGAAUACUCGCUGUUUGCGAUAUACAGUAAGCGGCCAAGCGAAAGCAUUAAGUAUUCCACCUGGGGAGUACGCCGGCAACGGUGAAACUCAAAGGAAUUGACGGGGGCCCGCACAAGCGGUGGAGCAUGUGGUUUAAUUCGAUGCAACGCGAAGAACCUUACCUGGUCUUGACAUCCACAGAACUUUCCAGAGAUGGAUUGGUGCCUUCGGGAACUGUGAGACAGGUGCUGCAUGGCUGUCGUCAGCUCGUGUUGUGAAAUGUUGGGUUAAGUCCCGCAACGAGCGCAACCCUUAUCCUUUGUUGCCAGCGGUUAGGCCGGGAACUCAAAGGAGACUGCCAGUGAUAAACUGGAGGAAGGUGGGGAUGACGUCAAGUCAUCAUGGCCCUUACGACCAGGGCUACACACGUGCUACAAUGGCAUAUACAAAGAGAAGCGACCUCGCGAGAGCAAGCGGACCUCAUAAAGUAUGUCGUAGUCCGGAUUGGAGUCUGCAACUCGACUCCAUGAAGUCGGAAUCGCUAGUAAUCGUAGAUCAGAAUGCUACGGUGAAUACGUUCCCGGGCCUUGUACACACCGCCCGUCACACCAUGGGAGUGGGUUGCAAAAGAAGUAGGUAGCUUAACCUUCGGGAGGGCGCUUACCACUUUGUGAUUCAUGACUGGGGUG
rnacentral:rRNA from 1 species